ACGUGGGUAAUCUGCCCCGAUGACCGGGACAACCCGAGGAAACUCGGCCUAAUACCGGAUGAUGAGCCUCGGCGUAAGCCUUGUCUCUAAAGGAAGCUUCGGCCUCCGCAUUGGGAGGAGCCCGCGGCGCAUUAGCUUGUUGGUGGGGUAACGGCCUACCAAGGCGACGAUGCGUAGCUGGUCUGAGAGGACGAUCAGCCACACUGGGACUGAGACACGGCCCAGACUCCUACGGGAGGCAGCAGUGGGGAAUCUUGCGCAAUGCGCGAAAGCGUGACGCAGCAACGCCGCGUGGGGGAA
rnacentral:rRNA from 1 species